ACAAGUCUAGUUUGAAGAGUAAAUAUUUCAAGCGUGACAAGAAGUCUUUGGCUGAAAUUAUAGCAAGUGUUCCCAAAGGUGUUAAUGAACAUCCAUGGGAUACUCUUGUUGGGUUUUGGUGCCAGGAUUCACACAUGAAAUUGUGCGAAAAGAACACCGAGUGUGCAAAGAAGCAGAAGAAUCCACAUACAACUGGGAGGAAAAGCCAUGCUAGACUUAGAAAAGAGAUGG